rnacentral:rRNA from 1 species
GGAUCCUACUAAAGGUGGCCUCUACUUGUAAGCUAUCGCUUUACGAUGGGUCUGCGUCUGAUUAGCUAGUUGGUGGGGUAACGGCCUACCAAGGCGACGAUCAGUAGCCGGUCUGAGAGGAUGAACGGCCACAUUGGAACUGAGACACGGUCCAGACUCCUACGGGAGGCAGCAGUGGGGAAUCUUCCGCAAUGGGCGCAAGCCUGACGGAGCAACGCCGCGUGAGUGAAGAAGGGUUUCGACUCGUAAAGCUCUGUUGUCGGGGACGAAUGUGGAGAUGGUGAAUAACCAUUUUCAAUGACGGUACCUGACGAGGAAGCCACGGCUAACUACGUGCCAGCAGCCGCGGUAAUACGUAGGUGGCGAGCGUUGUCCGGAAUUAUUGGGCGUAAAGGGAGCGCAGGCGGGAAGGUAAGUCUAUCUUAAAAGUGCGGGGCUCAACCCCGUGAGGGGAUGGAAACUAUCUUUCUUGAGUGCAGGAGAGGAAAGCGGAAUUCCUAGUGUAGCGGUGAAAUGCGUAGAUAUUAGGAGGAACACCAGUGGCGAAGGCGGCUUUCUGGACUGUAACUGACGCUGAGGCUCGAAAGCGUGGGGAGCGAACAGGAUUAGAUACCCUGGUAGUCCACGCCGUAAACGAUGAAUGCUAGGUGUAGGAGGUAUCGACCCCUUCUGUGCCGGAGUUAACGCAAUAAGCAUUCCGCCUGGGGA